GGCCAACCUGGUCUACAAAGAGAGUUCCGGAAUAGUCAGAGGAUCUCAACCCAAUUAGAGGUGAGCUGUGUAAAGUGUCUUGGAGUCAUGCACCCCGUAUCACUGGGUUCCCAACUCAAGAAAUAUCCAUAAUCCUAAAGUCAGGACAACUUGCAACAAAACACUCGGCAACCUGUGGAUUCUCUGGUGACAGAGAUGAUCGAGUGAAACAAAAUGCUUGCAAAGAUGCCUGAAACCACCUGGACCUGAGGCUGAUUAAAGAACCCGCCAGAUGCAGCAGCAUGCCCUUGUAAUACCAGCAAUGGGAUGUCAGGGAUAGACAUGACCCUGAGGCUCAACCGCUGGCCAACCUAGCCUACUUGGCAAGUUCCCAGGCAAGAAUGACCUUGUCUAAACCAAAAAGGUGGGUCAUACCUGAAGGAUAUACAAGACUGUCCUCUAACCUGUGCCCAUGCUUGUGCACACACAAGUUAAUAUCUAAAUAAAAUCUUUAAAAG